CUCUCUCUCCCGUGCUCCCUCUCUCUCUCUCUCUCUCUCUCCCUCUCCCCCUCUUUCUCUCUCCGUCCUCCCCCCAUUGUCUCCUGGUGUCUGACAGAGGGAAGGCAGCUCCCUCCUUUCUCAUCCGAGACGCAGAGAGAGAGCGGAGGAAGUCGAGGAGGGUCGCUCAAGUGGAGCCAGGCUGAGGUUUACCUCCAUGCAGUCCUAAUGGAGCCCGGAGGAAGAGAAGAGGAAGAAGGCCUCAGUGUAGGACCCAGUGGCUUGACUGAGCUGGACCGGCCUACACUACACCCUCACCAUCCUCUGGCCUAACAAAACAGGGUUAAGACAGAGACAUUUACAUUUUAGCCAUUUUACCGAUGCUCACAUCUAGAGCAACUUAGAUUACAUCAAGGCUGCCAAAUCAUGUUCCUGAAGAUCCACAAUCCUGUAGGUUUUCACUCCAACCCUAACAAAACCUAACAACACCUUAAACACCUCAUUCAACGGAUAGAGAUCUCAUUGAGCUGCUAAUUAGUUGAGUCAGGUGUGCCGAAUUAGUUGAAAACCUACAGAAUGGUACAUCUCCAGGAACAGGGUCAGCAGCCCUGGCUCACUGUCUCUUACACAUAACCCAUAUACACUAUUAUAUGGCUGGACGGUUCAGGUUCAAGCAUACAAUGGCAGUACCCCACCUGAGAAUCAAACCUGGAACCAGCUGCAAGCCCAGGUCUCUAACCAUUGUUCUGCAUUGGCCCAGACAGGGCUGUAGCCCAUGCACUGACACAAUACCAACACCAGAACUUAGGCAAUGCACUUAUGCAUGGCACUCUGGUUUGACAACAACAUGACUGCCUUCACCCUGUUUCACCAAAACUCCUCAUCAUUCCCACAAUGCAUCACUGAAUGGUCAGAGGUUUCAGACUACAGUCAGGCAUGUUGAUGAUACACAGAUUUGGUGCUUUCAAAAUAAUUUUUAAUAUAGCAUUAUAAUCAUCACUACUACUACUAAUGCUAAUAAUUAGAAGCAGAAGAAAUAUGGCUCUCACUAGCCUAUCAACACUCUAAUCACAUGUAUGUGGAUGGACCUCCCAGGGACCCCUGGUAAAAGCAUUCAAUUCAGCCACUACUCAAGCUGUUUUCACAGACCCUUUUCUUUUGCAGAUAAGCAGGCCUAAUCCUCCAAGCAUAAAUGUCCAUGUACAUUAAAAAAAUGAACAAUAAAUGUUUUCCCUACAUACAA